rnacentral:rRNA from 1 species
UACGUAGGGUGCAAGCGUUGUCCGGAAUCAUUGGGCGUAAAGCGCGUGUAGGCGGCUCGGUCAGUCUGAUGUGAAAUCUUGGGGCUCAACCCUAAGCGGUCAUUGGAUACUGCCGAGCUAGAGUCCGGAAGAGGAGAGUGGAAUUCCCGGUGUAGCGGUGAAAUGCGCAGAUAUCGGGAGGAACACCAAUUGCGAAGGCAGCUCGCUGGGACGUUACUGACGCUGAGGCGCGAAAGCGUGGGGAGCAAACAGG